rnacentral:rRNA from 1 species
CUUUACUGUAGCCUGGUAUUGGGUUCGGGCUUUGACUGCGCAGGAUAGGUGGGAGACUGAGAAGUGUGCCUUGUGGGGCACAUGGAGUCAACGGUGAGAUACCACUCUGUCAGAGCUAGGAUUCUAACCUUCACCCGUAAUCCGGGGAAGGAACCGUAUCAGGUGGGCAGUUUGACUGGGGCGGUCGCCUCCUAAAAGGUAACGGAGGCGCGCAAAGGUGUUCUCAGGCUGGUUGGAAAUCAGCCGUAGAGUGUAAAGGCAGAAGAACGCUUGACUGUGAGAGUGACAACUCAAGCAGGGUGGAAACACGGUCUUAGUGAUCCGACGGUGCCGCAUGGAAGGGCCGUCGCUCAACGGAUAAAAGUUA